AUUGAACGCUGGCGGCAUGCCUAACACAUGCAAGUCGAACGGGGCGCUUCGGCGUCGAGUGGCGGACGGGUGAGUAACGCGUAGGAAUCUGCCUUGGAGUGGGGGACAACCUGGGGAAACUCAGGCUAAUACCGCAUACGCUCGCAAGAGGAAAGCGGGGGAUCUUCGGACCUCGCGCUGCAAGAAGAGCCUACGUCCGAUUAGCUAGUUGGCAGGGUAAAAGCCUACCAAGGCGACGAUCGGUAGCUGGUCUGAGAGGAUGAUCAGCCACACUGGGACUGAGACACGGCCCAGACUCCUACGGGAGGCAGCAGUGGGGAAUAUUGGACAAUGGGCGCAAGCCUGAUCCAGCAAUGCCGCGUGGGUGAAGAAGGCCUGCGGGUUGUAA
rnacentral:rRNA from 1 species